rnacentral:lncRNA from 1 species
CGAGAUUCCUACCCGGCAGAAAUGAAACGCAUCUACGUCUGAAUACCUGCUUAUGUAUGUGUACACGUGUAUUUGUAGAUCGAUACACGCAACCUGCGACCACGCACUGUACUUCCACCUGUCUAGUGAAGAAGGAGUGGCGGCGCGCAUAGAAUCAAAACGCUAUCUCCCUUCCUCAGCAUCUCUCCUCUCCCUCUUCUUUUCCUCUUUGCGUCCGUCCCCUUUUUUCGCUGGGUCGCGUCGCUUCUGUUGUUCGUCGAGUCUUUCUGUCAUCCCAGGACAAUUGCUUGUUUUUUCCUCCCCUUCGGGCGAAGACGCCUCGUAGUCAAGACUCUCUAGUUCGAGACUGAAAUUACCUCCGUUCCUGUCCUCCGCGUCCCCGCGCUUCCCAGCAGCGUGAAAGCAGGGAGAGAUGCCGUUCUCGUUUCUCAUUAGAGCACUGCCGCCAGUUUCUGUUUCCUCCGGAGAGAACACGACGCCACUGCCGUUCAUAGGAGCGACUGGGUCAUUGCGUCGCUUUUUUCCCGACGCGAACUCGCCCCUGUCAUCCUCUGCUUCCUGCGGCUGAUCGGCGACUCCCGGUUCGCAGAAGCAGUGCGUUACCGGGUUUUCUUCCCGCGCGCCUUCCUCUCCAGGUUUAGCCAAAGGCCGAGAACAGCAAGGCGCUGCAGGCGUCUGGGGCGACCGAGCCAGCUGAUGCUUCUUCUGCGACUCUUUCGGGUUUUCAAAGGCGAGACACACGUUGCCUUUCCUCCCGUUCAAGCCGUCUUCUUCCUUCUCCGCUUCGCCCUUUUCUACCGCGGUCGACGUUUCUGAUUUCGCCAAACGCUCCUCGCGCCCAUCACCCCCCCUCUCCUCUUGUUCCACCUCUUGUGGAUCUGACGCUUCUGAUGGGACUGGGUCCGUCCCUCUUCCUGUCUCCUCGUCUCCAGUCUGCCGGGGAGAAGCGCUGUCGUCCGCGGCUUCGGCUUUUUGCAUUCCCAACAACGGGUUCACACGAACUCUAACUUGAGCACUAACGUGGCGAGCCUCAGCCCACACUCCAUUCGAAAGGCUGUCCUCGUUAGGCGCGUCACGCUGCUGAGAGCUAGCGGCGUUCUUGUCUUUCCAACUCGCAUGCCUAAAAGGUUUACGGACACGGGUAGCCUCCUUGUCCGCGCUGUCACUCCCUCGCUUCUUACGCGGGGUACGGCUGCUGCUGCCAGCGAGACUGCUCUCGUGAUUGGUGCUUUGCGUCGGGAUAUCCCUCUGCCCCCUACCGACCCCGUCACUCUUGUUCUCAUCCUCACAAUCAUUAUAAAAGGCAGUCUUGCUCCCGCAGUUCCUCUCCGUGUCCACGGUUCCACUCCGAGGAGAGUCCCCACUACCCGCGUUCGCGGCCUGCUGGCUCUUACCCCCAGGCUCGGCAGCGCGUCUAUUCGAAUCAGCACUCCUCUCACGACUCUCGCGCGCAGGACUGACCGUCUGCGUAGAGUCAGGCGGUUCCGGAGCAUCGCUAGGCAGACGCGGUUCGCCGCAGUGGCUGUCUUCAACAUCAUCUCUAUCGUUCCUAUCAAGACUAUCCUGUGUCUGAUUCCUGGCUCUUUUGUUCCCAUUCUCGCUAGGCUCCGCAAAGUCGUGAAGUUCGUGGCAAGAGCCGCCGCUGUGUCUCCCACCGACAGGACCAUCUCCCUCCACGUGGCUGUCCCUAGGGGAAUUCGUGUGGUCAUUUGCCGCAAGAUGACUGGUUGGAAUGCCUCCUCCGGCCACACGUACCGUUUGUUCAACAACCCCCAAAUGUCCGUCCUUUCCUUCCCAUUCGGGCGCUUCGUUUCUUUCUCUUUCGUCUUCUUUUCGCUUAGCGUUUGGUGAAAAGUAAAUCACUCCCAGCUCUGUCGCGGCGGCCGCUUGGCUAGGACUUAAGCAGAGAGGAUAGGGCGAGUGGCGACAAAGAACUAAGGGGCGCAAGUGCUGAAGCAUGGCUUCCUGCUUGUGGGCGAUCUGGCAAAAGUCGCUUCGUUCCUCGGUUAAACCCCUCCCGGGGUUGGACCCAUCCGCAGCGAUGUUUAUGCCGUGCAUGUAAGCUGGGUCCACCGCGUGCACGUUCUCGAAAAAAACGGAAUUCGCCUGACCGCCGAGCACUUGGGCGUAAUAGAGCGAAGACGCGUAGGUCCCAGGUGGAGCGAAAAGGGCGAAGUUGUCUGGAGGCGGCGGAGGCGGCACUGAGGGAGGAGGCGGAAUUGUCGCAGCGACGAAAGCCUCGAGCGCGUGUCCAGCUCGCUGCUUUCCAGAUCUCGAGUUUCGAGCAGGGAGCGAGGCAGGCUCCUCGGGCAACGCAGAACGCACCGGCUGUCCGUGAAGGGGGUCAGAAGCAUAGCAAUCUCCCGACGCGAAGGUCGAGACAGAGCCAGCUUCUCUUUCUCGUCCCAGAGAGGGGCAAACAAGCGAGGAAGGCUGAGAAUAGACAGUGCUCGGAGGGCUCCACCCGGGGUGGUCCGUUUGAACUUGCGAAACACCCGAGAAGACGGGAAAACCUGGACGGGCCGAACAACCCUGGGAAGUCGAAGGAGGACGAGAAGAGGCGACUUCCGAGGAAGCACCGCGGGGGAAUUUCAAAAAUCUCCUUCCUACUAGAAAUACGCGCAAAGCAACAAAAACGUCAACAACAGAGACCCCGAAACACGGUGAACUGUCUGCUCACAAAUCCAUAGGCAUCCAUGCUUUUCUUUGCGGAUAUCUUCGUUCACUAUACGUAUCCACACGCACAAAUAUAUAUAUAUAUAUAUAUAUAUAUACAUACAUACAUACAUACACAUAUAUAUGCUUGUGCAUGCAGAGAUACUCACGCAGAUUCACUUAGAGUGAGCAAAGAGAAAGGCACCCCGUUCGCCUUCUACAUUCCUGCAGGCCUGCCAUGAGGCACUUUCCACUUUGUGUGUCCGUGUGCAUGUUGUGGUGACUCCUCGCGUAUGUCCAAGUGCAUUCCAAGACGAACACCCAUUUCCACAACUUUGUGUGAAUGUGCGCGGAUGGUGUUUUUUUUCUGCUCUGCCUCCACCCCUGUUCCUGUGGUGUCAACCUGUUCUUCGUCUUCUCGUAUGAAGGUGGAUCCACCUUGCUUUCCCGUUGGUUCUCUCUGGCUGUCCUCUGCAUGUUCGCGAUUUGUCUUACUCUCAGGGUGUUCGCGCAUUGCCCCUCGCCCGAGUGUGGACGCUGGCGCUCGACCGUCUCGGCCGCGCUCUCCUUUCGCUUGCCACGCAGCCUCCCCAGUUUCGUGGCCGGGAGGCAAGUGAUGAGGCGCGUUCCACAGUGGAGAGUUGUGGCUGUGUCCAGCAGCAAGUGACGAGGAAGGGUACGGAAAAGCAGCAGAAGGUGGCUUGUGGGCACCUGGUCGAUGCGCCUGUGAGUGCGGAGGUCUCUCGUGGCGCAGAGGACGGGGCGGGAUCGGCGCUUCAAAAAGAAAGCCCAGACGGCUUUUCGCAGCAGGCCUGGCGCAGUCCAGCACGAAAGAGAGAGAAAGGGAGAGAACAGACAGGAAAAAACGUUUUGAGCCAAGACUCCUAACGGCAAGCAAAGAAUCGGUUGCGUUCGUUUUCCCCAGUCGAGUCCCCACUUUCAGUUUCUCUAGAUUCUCUCGUUUCCGUCACUCCUGCGCCGCUGUGUCUCGGCUAGGUUUUUCUCCUUUCUCGCGCGGCGAUGGAUUCUUCUCUCGAAAGAACACGUGGUGACCGGUUCUCCUUCAGCCUGCGCAACCCUAUGACACUCUCGCCGCUGGGUUCUACGAGGGGUUCAUUGUGUCGCGCUCUGGAAACAGAACAAGCUUACCGGUCACGUGGCGCUUCCCGCUUCUUCUGCAGGCCCAGCGAGGCCCCUAAGGAAGGCCAGGAGAUAUUUGCGGCAUCGUUAGGCCAGGCGACAUUUGCGGCAUCGUUUUCAGGGACAAGAUCCGCGUUUUCAUGGUCUCGGUCCCAACUUCCUUUCGGCUGCUCUCCGAUCUUUUCUUCUUGCCCUCCCUUCUCGUGAGUCUCAGGACGAGAGCAAGGGGGACGGGGACUCACCGAAGACUCCCCGCCUCCGCGUGGGCCCUGUGUCUCGUUACCAAGUGGAGUUGCGUCGCCCCCACGCCUGUCUCCGGCAAAAGAGGCAGAAGAAGGGACAGCUUCAGACAGCGAGGAAGACGCCAGAGAAGAAGAAGCAAGAGUGGACGACGGAGGAGAGGAGGAAAAUCCAGGUUGACUGCCUUCCGAGGAAGCGUGUCCUGGUGUUCUUCCUUUCUGCUUUCCUCGUUCGGGAAAGACCCGUGCGUGAUUUUCUUCAGUAGUGGGAAGCGGAAGAUGGGGAUGGGGACAGAUGACACUUUCUUUCGUGUCUGUCGAAAUAGGCAAAGGAACGGUUCUCGCCGCUUCCGAUCCCUUCUCCCACGAGCAACCCUCCUCUCCGUCGCCAGAUAUGUGGUCAGUCCAGCGCCGCGGCAUGGCAGCCUUCGAGGCAGACGCAGGGAGCGCAGAAGCCGAGACCGAAAAGGAAGAAGGGGAAUGAGUAGGUUUUGCGAGGCCAGUUUCCCCUGGAGGUUUCCUUGUCUUCCCUUGUCGAUGAACUUCAGCCCAGCGGCUGACGGUUGUAUCCUCCAGCGCUGGCGCAGGGGGGGAAGAAGGCAAGAGAGAAGACCGACGAGAAGGGAAAGACGGAGGCGAGUGUGGCGGCGAC